GACGUAGGAUGCAAGCGUUGUCCGGAUUUAUUGGGCGUAAAGAGUUCGUAGGUGGUUUGUUAAGUCUGAUGUUAAAGACUGGGGCUCAACCUCGGAAAUGCAUUGGAUACUGACAGACUCGAGUGUGGUAGAGGCAAUCGGAAUUCCAGGUGUAGCGGUGAAAUGCGUAGAUAUCUGGAAGAACACCGGUGGCGCAAGCGGAUUGCUGGGCCAUAACUGACACUGAGAAACGAAAGCUAGGGUAGCGAAUGGG
rnacentral:rRNA from 1 species